rnacentral:rRNA from 1 species
AUUGAACGCUGGCGGCAGGCUUAACACAUGCAAGUCGAGCGGGGUGAUGGUGCUUGCACUAUCACUUAGCGGCGGACGGGUGAGUAAUGCCUAGGAAUCUGCCUGGUAGUGGGGGACAACGUUUCGAAAGGAACGCUAAUACCGCAUACGUCCUACGGGAGAAAGCAGGGGACCUUCGGGCCUUGCGCUAUCAGAUGAGCCUAGGUCGGAUUAGCUAGUUGGUGGGGUAAUGGCUCACCAAGGCGACGAUCCGUAACUGGUCUGAGAGGAUGAUCAGUCACACUGGAACUGAGACACGGUCCAGACUCCUACGGGAGGCAGCAGUGGGGAAUAUUGGACAAUGGGCGAAAGCCUGAUCCAGCCAUGCCGCGUGUGUGAAGAAGGUCUUCGGAUUGUAAAGCACUUUAAGUUGGGAGGAAGGGCAGUAAGUUAAUACCUUGCUGUUUUGACGUUACCGACAGAAUAAGCACCGGCUAACUUUGUGCCAGCAGCCGCCGUAA